GAUUACUGGGGUACGGUUUACAAGUAAAUACUAUUUCAGAUUUCUGCUUCAGAUUUUCAUGUUCAAUUCAAUGCUAAUUUUUUUGUUCAUU